AUGGAUGCAAGGAGGGGAGGGGCAGGGGGAGUAGCUCGGUCCCGAUCAUCCUUUCUUGCAGCAUGGUGCAAACCAUACCCAGGGGUCACGGACCCGCUCAUAGCUGAAGCUUUUGCUAUCCGCGAUGGAGUCAUCUUCGCGCAUCUUCGGGGCUAUGAAGAAGUGGUUCUGGAGUCUGAUAAUUUGGAGAUUGUGAAUCUCUGGAACUCGUGUCACAUCUCUCGUGCGGUGGUGGCGCCUAUCUUUUCUGAAAUUGAGGAGCAUGUUCCUUCGUUUAAGUCUUUUGUAGUUCAGCAUGUCGAUAGGGCAGCCGACGUCCCUGCUCAUCUCUGUACGAAGUAAGCGAGCACUUUAGAUGUUACAGAGUGUUGGCUUGAUACCACAUCAAGUUUUCUUGUAACUAGCCUCUCAGCAGAUUUUGCUGAGAUUUUGCUGGAGGAGUUGAUGUUGAAUAAAGAGCUCCCGGUUUCACCCUCACAAAAAAAAACUAUUACAUCCUGCCGUUUCCGAUUGGACGGCCGUGGAUCCCCGAGCGAGAACCACGCGGCCGAGAUGCGUGCGAUGCGGAUCCCCGGGAAACCAGAUAAGAAACGAUAA
rnacentral:rRNA from 1 species